rnacentral:rRNA from 1 species
UACGUAGGUGACCAGCGUUGUCCGGAUUUACUGGGCGUAAAGAGCGCGCAGGCGGUCGUUCAAGUCGAGUGUGAAAGCCCCCGGCUCAACUGGGGAGGGUCACUCGAUACUGAUCGACUUGAAGGCAGGAGAGGGAAGUGGAAUUCCCGGUGUAGUGGUGAAAUGCGUAGAUAUCGGGAGGAACACCAGUGGCGAAGGCGACUUCUUGGCCUGUUCUUGACGCUGAGGCGCGAAAGCUAGGGGAGCAAACGGG